AACGCUGGCGGCAGGCCUAACACAUGCAAGUCGAGCGGAUGAAAGGAGCUUGCUCCUGGAUUCAGCGGCGGACGGGUGAGUAAUGCCUAGGAAUCUGCCUGGUAGUGGGGGACAACGUUUCGAAAGGAACGCUAAUACCGCAUACGUCCUACGGGAGAAAGCAGGGGACCUUCGGGCCUUGCGCUAUCAGAUGAGCCUAGGUCGGAUUAGCUAGUUGGUGAGGUAAUGGCUCACCAAGGCGACGAUCCGUAACUGGUCUGAGAGGAUGAUCAGUCACACUGGAACUGAGACACGGUCCAGACUCCUACGGGAGGCAGCAGUGGGGAAUAUUGGACAAUGGGCGAAAGCCUGAUCCAGCCAUGCCGCGUGUGUGAAGAAGGUCUUCGGAUUGUAAAGCACUUUAAGUUGGGAGGAAGGGCAGUAAAUUAAUACUUUGCAGUUUUGACGUUACCGACAGAAUAAGCACCGGCUAACUCUGUGCCAGCAGCCGCGGUAAUACAGAGGGUGCAAGCGUUAAUCGGAAUUACUGGGCGUAAAGCGCGCGUAGGUGGUUUGUUAAGUUGGAUGUGAAAUCCCCGGGCUCAACCUGGGAACUGCAUCCAAAACUGGCAAGCUAGAGUAUGGUAGAGGGUGGUGGAAUUUCCUGUGUAGCGGUGAAAUGCGUAGAAUAUAGGAAGGAACACCAGUGGCGAAGGCGACCNCNGGACNG
rnacentral:rRNA from 1 species